UGUGUGUGUGUGUGUGUGUGUGUGUGUACGUGUGUACACACACACAUAUAUAUAUACACACAUAUAUACAUGUAUA